ACCAGAAUGGUGUAGUGGUUUGAGCAUUGGACUACAACUCUGGAGACCAGGGUUUGAAUCCCUGCUCAGCCA